rnacentral:tRNA from 1 species
CCGCAGCUGGGCGAGGUUGAGCGUGCCGCCGUCGAUGCGGACGCGGAGCAUGAAGUACUCGUCCUCGAGCUCGUGCGGCUCGAGCACCGCGGU